AGGACGAACGCUGGCGGCGUGCUUAACACAUGCAAGUCGAGCGGAAAGGCCCACUUGUGGGUACUCGAGCGGCGAACGGGUGAGUAACACGUGAGUAAUCUGCCCUCCACUCUGGGAUAACGUUCAGAAAUGGGUGCUAAUACCGGAUGUACACAGGCCGACGCAUGUUGGUGUGUGGAAAGGUUUUUCUGGUGGGGGAUGUGCUCGCGGCCUAUCAGCUUGUUGGUGGGGUAAUGGCCUACCAAGGCUUUGACGGGUAGCCGGCCCGAGAGGGUGACCGGCCACACUGGGACUGAGACACGGCCCAGACUCCUACGGGAGGCAGCAGUGGGGAAUAUUGGACAAUGGGCGGAAGCCUGAUCCAGCAACGCCGCGUGAGGGAUGACGGCCUUCGGGUUGUAAACCUCUUUCACUAUUGACGAAGCCGCAUUCUUUUGGGUGUGGUGACGGUAGGUGGGGAAGAGCACCGGCCAACUACGUGCCAGCAGCCGC
rnacentral:rRNA from 1 species